rnacentral:rRNA from 1 species
CUCAAUGAAAAUUUAAUAGCCGCAAUAUACUUGUGCUAAGGUAGCAUAAUCAUUUGUCUUUUAAUUAAAGACUAGAACAAAAGAUUCAAUAUUUCUAUUUCUUUCUUAUAUUUAUACAUUUAAUUUAUUUUAAAUAUAAAAAAAUAUUUAUAAUUUAAAAAGACGACAAGACCCUAUUAAACUUAACUAAAGUUAAACUGGGGUAGUUAAUUAAACAUUAUUUUAAUUUUAAGCUAAAAAUAACCUAAUAAAAUUAAAUUUAUUAAGUUACUAUAGGGAUAACAGCGUAAUAAUUUUUCAAAGAUCUUAUUAAAAAAAUUGUUUACGACCUCGAUGUUGAAUUAAUAAUCUAUUAAAUGCAAUAAUUUAAUAAGAAAGUCUGUUCGACUU